UGAUGCAGCAACGCCGCGUGAGGGACGACGGCCUUCGGGUUGUAAACCUCUUUUAGCAGGGAAGAAGCGAAAGUGACGGUACCUGCAGAAAAAGCACCGGCUAACUACGUGCCAGCAGCCGCGGUAAUACGUAGGGUGCAAGCGUUGUCCGGAAUUAUUGGGCGUAAAGAGCUCGUAGGCGGUUUGUCGCGUCUGCUGUGAAAUCCCGAGGCUCAACCUCGGGUCUGCAGUGGGUACGGGCAGACUAGAGUGCGGUAGGGGAGAUUGGAAUUCCUGGUGUAGCGGUGGAAUGCGCAGAUAUCAGGAGGAACACCGAUGGCGAAGGCAGAUCUCUGGGCCGUAACUGACGCUGAGGAGCGAAAGGGUGGGGAGCAAACAGGCUUAGAUACCCUGGUAGUCCACCCCGUAAACGUUGGGAACUAGAUGUGGGGACCAUUCCACGGUCUCCGUGUCGCAGCUAACGCAUUAAGUUCCCCGCCUGGGGAGUACGGCCGCAAGGCUAAAACUCAAAGGAAUUGACGGGGGCCCGCACAAGCGGCGGAGCAUGCGGAUUAAUUCGAUGCAACGCGAAGAACCUUACCAAGGCUUGACAUAUACGAGAACGGGCCAGAAAUGGUCAACUCUUUGGACACUCGUAUACAGGUGGUGCAUGGUUGUCGUCAGCUCGUGUCGUGAGAUGUUGGGUUAAGUCCCGCAACGAGCGCAACCCUCGUUCUAUGUUGCCAGCACGUAAUGGUGGGAACUCAUGGGAUACUGCCGGGGUCAACUCGGAGGAAGGUGGGGACGACGUCAAAUCAUCAUGCCCCUUAUGUCUUGGGCUUCACGCAUGCUACAAUGGCCGAUACAAAGGGCUGCAAUACCGCAAGGUGGAGCGAAUCCCAAAAAGUCGGUCCCAGUUCGGAUUGAGGUCUGCAACUCGACCUCAUGAAGUCGGAGUCGCUAGUAAUCGG
rnacentral:rRNA from 1 species